GUCAAACACUUCACAGGGACACCAGCUCAGCUCUCAUCUUCUGUGCGCAAUUUAUGGAAUUUAACCCUAUCCUCUGAUGGUGAAGAUCAGCAAGCAAAUCAUAUGGUUGCAAGUGGGUGAUGCCGCAGCUCUCAGCGUGUUACUAUACGAACCGGAAGUGUCAAGAGGCAGAAGGUAUAGCCUUGUCAUCCAGAGUGCCGUAGCCAAAGUGGUGGAUCAGACCGCAUCAAUAGAGAAAAGAAAAGGGGAAAAGGCAGGCACUCCUCAUGAACCAUAAUGAAGUGAAAAUAUAAAAACAGCAAUCUUUAAUAUUCAGUAUAAAGCAUACAUACAGACAUGGCAGGAGAACUGGGGUAAAGACCGUCUUUCUCCCAGACCUCCUAAAAUGGCUAUUUAAGCACUGUCUUUUAGAUACUUUUGUCAGGCAUGUGUAAGGGCUAGGUGUUAGCCCAAAAACAUUGCUGUAUAUAUGUGUACCUGUGUGAAAAAUAAAGAUAUUUUAAUUCAUCACAGCUGGAGAUAUCUCUUCUUUGUGAUUUCUAUAUUGUCAGCACCUGUUAAUUGAUACAGGUGAGUUUAAUUAGAAAUUACAGGAGUAUCAAACUGUCCAGUUAAUUUUUCGAGUUUUGCGUGGAAUGUGUCAGAUUUGGCUUUUUUUUCUCCCCACUUUUUUGUGUCAUACCAAUAUAAACAAAAUAAAUAAACACGAGAAUGUCUAAA